AGCGGGGCGGCCCGGCCGAGAGCAGCGCCCAGCUCCCAGCGCCCCGCACCGCCCGGCCCGGGCUGGGAGCGCUCCCCGCGGGGGGCCGGCGGCGGGCAGGGCAGGGCAGGGCAGGGCAGGGCAGGGCGGCGGGGGUGGGAUCUGCUCCGCGUAAUUCCCCCCGGGGGGCGGCGGGCCGCUCUCGGAGCAUCCCCCCCCCCCCUCCGUCCCCGACGCGGGGAGGGGAGAGCCACCACCCCCCGCUUCCUCCGUUUAAGACCCGGGCCGGCGGGGCGAGAGCGGAGGAGAGCGGCCGCUCCGCAGCUGCCGGCCCCAUUUCGGCGGCGGGGCGGGCGCUGGAUGAGCCGCCGACGGGAGGCGGCCGGCAGCCGAGCGGGUCCGAUCGCGGCGCGAUGAGCGCGGGCGGCAGCGGCUCGGCGGGCACCGCCACCUCCGCGCUGUGCCUGCUCCUGUCGCUCACCGCCGUGGCCGUGUGUCUGCUGCUGGGCGCUAAGACCGCCGAGCUGCAGGGCCGCCUGGCCGCCCUGGAGGAGCGCGGUGCCGCCGGCCCCGGGCCGCUGCUGGACGCGCUGCAGCCCCGCGUGGAGCAGCUCCUGCGCGAGAAGCUGGGCGAAGGACUCGCGAAGCUGCGGACGGUGAGAGAGGCUCCGUCAGACUGCAUGUGCCCACCAGGCCCUCCAGGGAGACGAGGGAAGCCUGGACGGCGUGGAGAGCCUGGUAAGCACCGUGGUCAUCCCCUGGUACCAAUGCUAUUACGUGUCCCCCUGGGCUGGCUCCUGCUCAACCCCAGGCCUGCCCACAUGGGAACCUUUGCUAAGUGGUUUGGUUCUGCAUCUCUGUCAUUUUGCUGUCGGGUGGAUUUUCUUGUGCGUUGUGAACUGGGAAAGCACUCAUCUUGUGUCAGCAGGAGAGCAGGGCUGUUCAUUUUCUGCUUUUAGGUCUGGAUGCAGUAGGAAAGGGAAGAAAUGUAGAUCUCUCUUGCUAAGGAGAAUGGUUGCAUCUUGUUAAACAGAAGUGCCCAGAAAGGCAUGUCAGAGACCAACAAAUGAAGUUUUACACUCGUCAUCUUUUAAGCUGUUGGAUUUGAGUGAAUGAAUGGGGACCAGGCAGGUUUUUUCUUAUCCAGGAGGCUGCUCUCCUUUGCUGUUGUGUACAGCAGAUGCCCCGCUGCGUUUUCCACAAGCAUAACUUUCUGGCCAGCCAUUUCUAAUGGUUUUUUUCACUUUGUAUUAACUAUGGGAAGAGGGAACUGGGCUGUUAGUGCUGCGGACUGGGAGCUGAUCUCUGCAGAGGGCAGGCAGGCAUUUCCCUUCCUUUCAUUGGUGCCACCUCACUGUGUGUUCUGUAGCCAGGGCAGGGAUUCUGCUUUCAUGGUGACAAAGGCAGAUCCCAGUCCGCUUCACCCUUUUCCCAGCAGUCAGGCUGUAGGAAUCGCCAGAUGGCUUUGAUUUUUUUUUCUUUUCAUGUUUGUUUUUAAACAUCGGAGCACUCUUGAAAGCCCUUACAGGGGUACAGCAUCCAACCAAAGGCAGCUGGCGAGGACUGCCAUGAAUUUGGUGUGUUUAUACAUAUCUUCAUGCAAGCAUUUCCAAGGCACUUCCAGCCCUUAGCAAAAUUUAGCAGCACCGAAUGUGAGUGUGCCCUCAUGUUUCAUUUGUCUUCUUGCUUCACACGAGAGCUUUUGAAGUCUGCUCUGCUUAUGCCACAGCACAUCCACAAGUGCUGUGUGAGUGGAUUGGCACAAGGGUGGAGUCCCUGGGUCCAGGAUAUCCCUUAGGACAGGUUGUGAGGAUAACUUCUUGAUGAGCUCCAAGCAAAUGUGGAAGGCAGAGUGAUUUGUAUCAUCAACACUGCUGUUGGCUCGUGGUUUUUC
rnacentral:lncRNA from 1 species